rnacentral:rRNA from 2 species
CACUAUCGUUAACUGAAUACAUAGGUUAACGAGGCGAACCGGGGGAACUGAAACAUCUAAGUACCCCGAGGAAAAGAAAUCAACCGAGAUUCCCCCAGUAGCGGCGAGCGAACGGGGAGCAGCCCAGAGUCUGAAUCAGCUUGUGUGUUAGUGGAACGGUCUGGAAAGUCCGACGGUACAGGGUGAUAGUCCCGUACACCAAAAUGCACAGGUUGUGAACUCGAAGAGUAGGGCGGGACACGUGGUAUCCUGUCUGAAUAUGGGGGGACCAUCCUCCAAGGCUAAAUACUCCUGACUGACCGAUAGUGAACCAGUACCGUGAGGGAAAGGCGAAAAGAACCCCGGCGAGGGGAGUGAAAAAGAACCUGAAACCGUGUACGUACAAGCAGUGGGAGCACCUUCGGGUGUGACUGCGUACCUUUUGUAUAAUGGGUCAGCGACUUAUAUUCUGUAGCAAGGUUAACCGUAUAGGGGAGCCGCAGGGAAACCGAGUCUUAACUGGGCGUUAAGUUGCAGGGUAUAGACCCGAAACCCGGUGAUCUAGCCAUGGGCAGGUUGAAGGUUGGGUAACACUAACUGGAGGACCGAACCGACUAAUGUUGAAAAAUUAGCGGAUGACUUGUGGCUGGGGGUGAAAGGCCAAUCAAACCGGGAGAUAGCUGGUUCUCCCCGAAAGCUAUUUAGGUAGCGCCUCGUGAACUCAUCUUCGGGGGUAGAGCACUGUUUCGGCUAGGGGGUCAUCCCGACUUACCAACCCGAUGCAAACUACGAAUACCGAAGAAUGUUAUCACGGGAGACACACGGCGGGUGCUAACGUCCGUCGUGAAGAGGGAAACAACCCAGACCGCCAGCUAAGGUCCCAAAGUCAUGGUUAAGUGGGAAACGAUGUGGGAAGGCACAGACAGCCAGGAUGUUGGCUUAGAAGCAGCCAUCAUUUAAAGAAAGCGUAAUAGCUCACUGGUCGAGUCGGCCUGCGCGGAAGAUGUAACGGGGCUAAACCAUGCACCGAAGCUGCGGCAGCGACACUAUGUGUUGUUGGGUAGGGGAGCGUUCUGUAAGCCUGCGAAGGUGUGCUGUGAGGCAUGCUGGAGGUAUCAGAAGUGCGAAUGCUGACAUAAGUAACGAUAAAGCGGGUGAAAAGCCCGCUCGCCGGAAGACCAAGGGUUCCUGUCCAACGUUAAUCGGGGCAGGGUGAGUCGACCCCUAAGGCGAGGCCGAAAGGCGUAGUCGAUGGGAAACAGGUUAAUAUUCCUGUACUUGGUGUUACUGCGAAGGGGGGACGGAGAAGGCUAUGUUAGCCGGGCGACGGUUGUCCCGGUUUAAGCAUGUAGGCUGGUU